rnacentral:rRNA from 1 species
UACGUAGGGGGCAAGCGUUGUCCGGAUUUAUUGGGCGUAAAGAGCGUGUAGGCGGCCAUGUAGGUCCGUUGUGAGAACUCGAGGCUCAACCUCGAGACGCCGAUGGAAACCAUGUGGCUAGAGUCCGGAAGAGGAGAGUGGAAUUCCUGGUGUAGCGGUGAAAUGCGCAGAUAUCAGGAAGAACACCCGUGGCUAAGGCGGCUCUCUAGUACGGUACUGACGCUGAGACGCGAAAGCGUGGGGAGCGAACAGG